rnacentral:tRNA from 1 species
GGAGGCUUGGGGGAGUGGUUUAACCCAGCAGUCUUGAAAACUGCCGACCGGUAACGGUCCGUGAGUUCGAAUCUCACAGCCUCCGCCA